rnacentral:rRNA from 1 species
AGAGUUUGAUCCUGGCUCAGGACGAACGCUGGCGGCGUGCUUAACACAUGCAAGUCGAACGGUGACGAGGAGCUUGCUCCUCUGAUCAGUGGCGAACGGGUGAGUAACACGUGAGCAACCUGCCCCAGACUCUGGGAUAACAGUUGGAAACAGCUGCUAAUACCGGAUACGAGACGGAGAGGCAUCUCUACCGUCUGGAAAGUUUUUCGGUCUGGGAUGGACUCGCGGCCUAUCAGCUAGUUGGUGAGGUAAUGGCUCACCAAGGCGACGACGGGUAGCCGGCCUGAGAGGGCGACCGGCCACACUGGGACUGAGACACGGCCCAGACUCCUACGGGAGGCAGCAGUGGGGAAUAUUGCACAAUGGGCGAAAGCCUGAUGCAGCGACGCCGCGUGAGGGAUGACGGCCUUCGGGUUGUAAACCUCUUUCAGCAGGGAAGAAGCGAAUGUGACGGUACCUGCAGAAGAAGCACCGGCUAACUACGUGCCAGCAGCCGCGGUAAUACGUAGGGUGCGAGCGUUGUCCGGAAUUAUUGGGCGUAAAGAGCUUGUAGGCGGUUUGUCGCGUCUGCAGUGAAAAUCCGAGGCUCAACCUCGGACUUGCUGUGGGUACGGGCAGACUAGAGUAUGGUAGGGGAGACCGGAAUUCCUGGUGUAGCGGUGGAAUGCGCAGAUAUCAGGAGGAACACCGAUGGCGAAGGCAGGUCUCUGGGCCAUAACUGACGCUGAGAAGCGAAAGCAUGGGGAGUGAACAGGAUUAGAUACCCUGGUAGUCCAUGCCGUAAACGUUGGGCGCUAGGUGUGGGGCUCAUUCCACGAGCUCCGUGCCGCAGCUAACGCAUUAAGCGCCCCGCCUGGGGAGUACGGCCGCAAGGCUAAAACUCAAAGGAAUUGACGGGGGCCCGCACAAGCGGCGGAGCAUGCGGAUUAAUUCGAUGCAACGCGAAGAACCUUACCAAGGCUUGACAUAUACCGGAAACAUCCAGAGAUGGGUGCCCCGCAAGGUCGGUAUACAGGUGGUGCAUGGUUGUCGUCAGCUCGUGUCGUGAGAUGUUGGGUUAAGUCCCGCAACGAGCGCAACCCUCGUUCUAUGUUGCCAGCGCGUAAUGGCGGGGACUCAUAGGAGACUGCCGGGGUCAACUCGGAGGAAGGUGGGGAUGACGUCAAAUCAUCAUGCCCCUUAUGUCUUGGGCUUCACGCAUGCUGCAAUGGCCGGUACAAAGGGCUGCGAUACCGCGAGGUGGAGCGAAUCCCAAAAAAAACCGGUCUCAGUUCGGAUUGGGGUCUGCAACUCGACCCCAUGAAGUCGGAGUCGCUAGUAAUCGCAGAUCAGCAACGCUGCGGUGAAUACGUUCCCGGGCCUUGUACACACCGCCCGUCAAGUCACGAAAGUCGGUAACACCCGAAGCCGGUGGCCCAACCCUUGUGGAGGGAGCCGUCGAAGGUGGGACUGGCGAUU